UUUAUACGUCGAAUUUUGGUCGCAUCGAAUGCAAUUAAGACAAUAAAUAAUAAGACGAUGAACCUCAUUAUAAGCUUCAUUAUCUAUUGUUUGAAUUGCAUUCGACGCGACCAAAAUUUGGCGUAUAAA